UUAACGAAUCGCACAAUGGAAUAAUAAUUAUCGGAUUUUCACAUCCAUUUUAUUUGAAAUUCAUUUACGUCUAACAUGUGCCGUAAAAAUUUAAAUUUACAGGCAACAUUGCGGAAUACAUUUCAUAAAGUAGGUAUAUAAAACCGUCAUGUAUCGAAACCAACAUAUAAAUCUUAUUGAUAAAUCCAUUAAAAACACAUGUCGCUGUGACUUUUUGUCAGUUUAACUUGUGAAGUUUUGUUUUGACGUUUGGAUUUGGUAUCGAAUAAUCCAGAUAGUUAUUCAAAAUGGCUACACCACGAGAAGACGGCGUCUUAUUGAGCGAUUGGAAAAAUAUUUUCUUAUCUCCAAUGGAUCACACCGAAGAAAUUGGCACUUAUAUAAUCGUAGGGCAAACAACGUACAGACCAUUGGAACUCGGAUCAAGUGGCCGACGUUGAACCGGUUUAUAGGAUUUAUAGGACAGUCAACAAUCAAGUACAAAUUUCUUAAAAUAAAUAUUAUUUUUAUAAUAAAUUCUUGUAUCCUUUAUAAAAAAAAG